rnacentral:rRNA from 1 species
GAUGAACGCUGGCGGCGUGCCUAAUACAUGCAAGUCGAGCGAACGGACGAGAAGCUUGCUUCUCUGAUGUUAGCGGCGGACGGGUGAGUAACACGUGGAUAACCUACCUAUAAGACUGGGAUAACUUCGGGAAACCGGAGCUAAUACCGGAUAAUAUUUUGAACCGCAUGGUUCAAAAGUGAAAGACGGUCUUGCUGUCACUUAUAGAUGGAUCCGCGCUGCAUUAGCUAGUUGGUAAGGUAACGGCUUACCAAGGCAACGAUGCAUAGCCGACCUGAGAGGCUCAUCGGCCACACUGGAACUGAGCCACGGUCCAGCCUCCUACGGGAGGCAGCAGUAGGGAAUCUUCCGCAAUGGGCGAAAGCCUGACGGAGCAACGCCGCGUGAGUGAUGAAGGUCUUCUGAUCGUAAAACUCUGUUAUUAGGGAAGAACAUAUGUGUAAGUAACUGUGCACAUCUUGACGGUACCUAAUCAGAAAGCCACGGCUAACUACGUG